UACGUAGGGUGCGAGCGUUGUCCGGAAUUAUUGGGCGUAAAGAGCUCGUAGGCGGUCUGUCGCGUCGGUCGUGAAAACUUGGGGCUUAACCCUGAGCUUGCGGUCGAUACGGGCAUGACUGGAGUUCGGCAGGGGAGACUGGAAUUCCUGGUGUAGCGGUGAAAUGCGCAGAUAUCAGGAAGAACACCCGUGGCGAAGGCGGCUCUC
rnacentral:rRNA from 1 species